rnacentral:piRNA from 1 species
UGGCUUCCUAUUUUCAGCAAUUCAGUCUG